GGGGGAAAAGGGGGGUUACCUAUACAUGCAGUCGAGCGAACUGAUUAGAAGCUUGCUUCUAUGACGUUAGCGGCGGACGGGUGAGUAACACGUGGGCAACCUGCCUGUAAGACUGGGAUAACUUCGGGAAACCGAAGCUAAUACCGGAUAGGAUCUUCUCCUUCAUGGGAGAUGAUUGAAAGAUGGUUUCGGCUAUCACUUACAGAUGGGCCCGCGGUGCAUUAGCUAGUUGGUGAGGUAACGGCUCACCAAGGCAACGAUGCAUAGCCGACCUGAGAGGGUGAUCGGCCACACUGGGACUGAGACACGGCCCAGACUCCUACGGGAGGCAGCAGUAGGGAAUCUUCCGCAAUGGACGAAAGUCUGACGGAGCAACGCCGCGUGAGUGAUGAAGGCUUUCGGGUCGUAAAACUCUGUUGUUAGGGAAGAACAAGUACGAGAGUAACUGCUCGUACCUUGACGGUACCUAACCAGAAAGCCACGGCUAACUACGUGCCAGCAGCCGCGGUAAUACGUAGGUGGCAAGCGUUAUCCGGAAUUAUUGGGCGUAAAGCGCGCGCAGGCGGUUUCUUAAGUCUGAUGUGAAAGCCCACGGCUCAACCGUGGAGGGUCAUUGGAAACUGGGGAACUUGAGUGCAGAAGAGAAAAGCGGAAUUCCACGUGUAGCGGUGAAAUGCGUAGAGAUGUGGAGGAACACCAGUGGCGAAGGCGGCUUUUUGGUCUGUAACUGACGCUGAGGCGCGAAAGCGUGGGGAGCAAACAGGAUUAGAUACCUUGGUAGUCCAAAA
rnacentral:rRNA from 2 species